GAUUUCUGAGACGAUUCCAAGGCAGUUUCAAAGCCGGUGGCGGACGCCCGGUUGAGAAACCAAGGACGGCUGCUCGUGAUUAUAUCAAAGAUGUUGUCCUACAGCAGCUUCUGUACUGCUGAAUCUUAAACCUGGGAUGGGACGGAGUGUAAACUGCUCUGACUGCAGAGGCCUGAAUAGUCCAGCGAAUUAAACAGCUGCACAGCUAACAUCUGAAGGAUCUGGAUCCUAAGAGUACCUCCUGGAAGGUCCCUCAUUAGUGAACAAGAUGAAUAAAGCUUCCAUUAUCCCUUGAUCCUA